GGUUGACUGUCUUAGCAAAGCUCUCAUAGAAGCCUUUUCUACCCCAGCUUGCUUCCCAGAGCUCUGCCUUGUCUCAAAGAGAAGAUGAGAACAGGAAGUGGACUGGAGAGAAGUGUCUACUGUUUCUGGGACUCUGUGGAGGACAGGCAGUACCCUGGUGCUCAUUGAUAGAAAUCCUAAACUACUGCGCAAGUUCCAGGCCACUGGAAGACCCUGACUCAAAAACAGUGAGGAAAUACUGAACCAAAACAAGACCAAAAACCAGGAGAUCAAACUCCAAACUGCACCUCCAUGUCUGCUGUCAAAGAACUCUUCACGUCUCCAAUUCCUUUCAAUUUAGUUGACUAUAACACACUUCUUUCUCCUGGGCUGGAUUCACUCUCUAUGAACAGCUUUCCUGGCCAGGUACAGAGAAAUCUAUUCAGGUACCUGUCUGAACCAUCAAGCCAAACAUUAAAAAAUGGAGAGACUGACAAAGACAAUGGAAAACCAGUCGCUGAACAAGGGGAAGAACACCUGGUCCAGAAAGAUAACACCUCUCUGGGUAUGCAAGAUCCUUGGAGACCAAGAGGAGGACCCCAGAUGCAGAGGCAUUUGCCGGUACUGAAGACCAGGACUGGCUCCCCCCAUAACUUGAGAGUCCUUAACGCCCUAGUGACUCAGGUCAAAAACAUGUCCCCAGAAAAGGCAGAGACAGAACCUUAUAUUUUAUUUCUGCUUAUGUGUGCCAUUAUUACUGCUAAUUCUCAGGCACAGGCUCAGCCUUUGUUGUAGGCCAUAGUUAGAACCCCUCCUGUUUCUUAUGCCAGUCUCCUGGGAUGCUCAUUGGCAACUAUCUACAGUGACAACCCUAAUGUAGAUAGUUUGGUUUUAGACAUCCUUUGGUCCCUACCUGCUGCAGGGUGUGGCUUGCAUACCCUGCCCUCUACCCUGAGUUUUCUAGCCCAGGGGUUGGGCUUCCCUUCUCCAAGGGGCCUUUUAGUAAAUAAUCUAGACAUUUUGGUUCUCCCUCCUCCCUCUCUCCUGCUCUCUUCUCUGUGUAUCUCUUUUUCUUUCUCUCUUCUCUUUACAUGCAUUUCUC